rnacentral:rRNA from 1 species
GUGAGGAAUUUUCCGCAAUGGGCGAAAGCCUGACGGAGCAAUGCCGCGUGAAGGAUGAAGGCCUAUGGGUUGUAAACUUCUUUUCUCAGACAAGAAUUAUGACGGUAUCUGAGGAAUAAGCAUCGGCUAACUCUGUGCCAGCAGCCGCGGUAAGACAGAGGAUGCAAGCGUUAUCCGGAAUGAUUGGGCGUAAAGCGUCUGUAGGUUGUUUAAAAAGUAUUCUGUCAAAGAUUAGGGCUUAACCCUAGAUAGGCAGAAUAAACUUUUAAGCUAGAGUUUGGUAGAGGCAGAGGGGAUUACCGGGGGGUCGGUGAAAUGCGUAGAUAUCGGGAGGAACACCAAAGGCGAAGGCACUCUGCUGGGCCAAUACUAACACUGAGAGACGAAAGCGAGGGGAGCAAAUGGGAUUAGAUACCCUUGUAGUCC